rnacentral:rRNA from 1 species
AGUGAACGCUGGCGGUAGGCCUAACACAUGCAAGUCGAACGGCAGCACAGGAGAGCUUGCUCUCUGGGUGGCGAGUGGCGGACGGGUGAGGAAUACAUCGGAAUCUACUUUUUCGUGGGGGAUAACGUAGGGAAACUUACGCUAAUACCGCAUACGACCUACGGGUGAAAGCAGGGGACCUUCGGGCCUUGCGCGAUUGAAUGAGCCGAUGUCGGAUUAGCUAGUUGGCGGGGUAAAGGCCCACCAAGGCGACGAUCCGUAGCUGGUCUGAGGGGAAGAUCAGCCAAAAGGGAACUGAGACACGGUCCAGACUCCUACGGGAGGCAGCAGUGGGGAAUAUUGGACAAUGGGCGCAAGCCUGAUCCAGCCAUACCGCGUGGGUGAAGAAGGCCUUCGGGUUGUAAAGCCCUUUUGUUGGGAAAGAAAUCCAGCUGGCUAAUACCCGGUUGGGAUGACGGUACCCAAAGAAUAAGCACCGGCUAACUUCGUGCCAGCAGCCGCCGUAA